AACAAAGAGAGAAUAACGGUGAACAACACCACAUCAUCCUUUUCAUGGCGGUUCGGUCCCUUAACAUUCUGUCACAUUCUCUUCUCUUCUUUCCCUUUCUCUUUCUAUAUCUAUACAUACACCUAUACAUACACAUUUUCCAUAUAUAACAUCGCACACCGCAUCAUUACUCUACAAACCUCACAUUUACCACGAGCAAAUUUCGCAUCUCUUCUUCUUCUCUUACUCAUUCAUUCACUCUAUCUCUUGCUUCAUUCCCAAUCCUCUUCUAACUUUCUCUUCAACAAAUUUCAUUCCCUUUCUU